UACGGAGGGGGCUAGCGUUGUUCGGAAUUACUGGGCGUAAAGCGCACGUAGGCGGCUUCGUAAGUUAGAGGUGAAAGCCCGGGGCUCAACUCCGGAAUUGCCUUUAAGACUGCAUCGCUAGAAUUGUGGAGAGGUAAGUGGAAUUCCGAGUGUAGAGAUGAAAUUCGUAGAUAUUCGGAAGAACACCAGUGGCGAAGGCGACUUACUGGACACAUAUUGACGCUGAGGUGCGAAAGCGUGGGGAGCAAACAGG
rnacentral:rRNA from 1 species